rnacentral:snRNA from 1 species
AGAUCAUAAUGAGCCUUGUGCUAAAACUGGAAUAAUAGAAGAUUACUAUGACCCCUGCACAAAGAUUACACACAAAUUUAUGAAUCAUUCCAUAUUUUU